AGCUAGGAGACGCAGUUGGUAAAGUACUGGACUACAAUCUGGAGGUCCCGCGUUCAAUUCCCGGCCAGGCUG